AGCAGUGCAGAGCAGUUUGGUAGCUCGUCAGGCUCAUGUCCUGAAGACCGUAGGUUCAAAUCCUACCGCUGUUA
rfam:Nannochloropsis gaditana mitochondrion, complete genome.